UUCCCACCGACUGUGAAGUCACAUCGGGACACACGCACCGCACAACGCACACACACAACACACACAACACACACACUGCCAUCGUUACAGUCCCGAGUUAUUUUUAAACCUCGUCUAUUUGCGGGACUUCAUUCCAUCAAAACAUUCGGCGAUAAUUUCAGCCGAAUCCCUGCCUCGUCCUUCAAACCCAUCCCAGCAGCGGGAGCCUGGAGAUGAGAGGAGGGCUGACUUGACUCGUCUCUUCUCUGCAAGACGGGAGACAUGUGGUGCGCGCAGGACAGGCGAGCUUCGCGCUGCCAAUAAAGAGAGAGAGAGUGAGAAAAAAUAACCUGCACGUUGACAAGUCUCAGCACUGCUUUGGACAGAUGACAAUUGACCACGACGGUAUUUACCACCUUCCUGUUUCCCUGUUGGAGAGAUUGCACCUUUUUUUUUGCACGUACAAUCCAUUCGAUUCCCUUGACGUUUGACUUUUACACUGGAGUAGGGACUGAACGAAGUUCACCCCUAUAGAUUUGCAAUGAGAGCAAUCCUCCAGAGCCCUUCAGUCUGCGUUGAGUGCGUUAACCUGAGUUCGCUGUGAAGCCAAUUAAAUUUGCAUGAUGAGGAACACGAUUGACUGCAAAGUUUGUUGAAUCGCCCCCACCCAAAAAAAAUUACAGAUAAAAAUCAACUCAACAACCCGUUUACUCUUUUCUCUCAUCUUUUACCUGAAUUCGGACAUUAGCAUCAUAACUAAUCACACCCCCCACCCCCCUGUAAUGUGU